UGGGGAAUAUUGGACAAUGGGCGAAAGCCUGAUCCAGCCAUGCCGCGUGUGUGAAGAAGGUCUUCGGAUUGUAAAGCACUUUAAGUUGGGAGGAAGGGCAGUAAGCGAAUACCUUGCUGUUUUGACGUUACCGACAGAAUAAGCACCGGCUAACUCUGUGCCAGCAGCCGCGGUAAUACAGAGGGUGCAAGCGUUAAUCGGAAUUACUGGGCGUAAAGCGCGCGUAGGUGGUUCGUUAAGUUGAAUGUGAAAGCCCCGGGCUCAACCUGGGAACUGCAUCCAAAACUGGCGAGCUAGAGUAGGGCAGAGGGUGGUGGAAUUUCCUGUGUAGCGGUGAAAUGCGUAGAUAUAGGAAGGAACACCAGUGGCGAAGGCGACCACCUGGGCUCAUACUGACACUGAGGUGCGAAAGCGUGGGGAGCAAAC
rnacentral:rRNA from 1 species